rnacentral:rRNA from 1 species
AUACGUAGGGGGCGAGCGUUGUCCGGAAUGAUUGGGCGUAAAGGGCGCGUAGGCGGCCCGGUAAGUCUGGAGUGAAAGUCCUGUUUUUAAGAUGGGAAUUGCUUUGGAUACUGUCGGGCUUGAGUGCAGGAGAGGUAAGUGGAAUUCCCAGUGUAGCGGUGAAAUGCGUAGAGAUUGGGAGGAACACCAGUGGCGAAGGCGACUUUCUGGACUGUAACUGACGCUGAGGCGCGAAAGUGUGGGGGGCAAACAGGAUUAGAUACCCUGGUAGUCCACACUGUAAACGAUGAAUGCUAGGUGUAGGGGGUAUCGACCCCUUCUGUGCCGCAGUCAACACAAUAAGCAUUCCGCCUGGGGAGUACGGCCGCAAGGUUGAAACUUAAAGGAAUUGGCGGGG